rnacentral:rRNA from 1 species
CAGCAGCAGCCGCGGUAAUACGUAGGGUGCGAGCGUUAAUCGGAAUUACUGGGCGUAAAGCGUGCGCAGGCGGUGAUGUAAGACAGUUGUGAAAUCCCCGGGCUCAACCUGGGAACUGCAUUUGUGACUGGCAAGCUAGAGUGUGGCAGAGGGGGGUGGAAUUCCGCGUGUAGCAGUGAAAUGCGUAGAUAUGCGGAGGAACACCGAUGGCGAAGGCAGCCCCCUGGGCCAACACUGACGCUCAUGCACGAAAGCGUGGGGAGCAAACAGGAUUAGAUACCCCAGUAGUCCCUGUCUCUUAUAC